rnacentral:lncRNA from 10 species
GUGGCUGAGUAAAGACAGAUUGACAGGGUCUUGGCCACUGCCCUUCGCGGGCCGGGCUUCCUCCUUCUGUAACCUUCUGUGCCGGGGAGGAUAUUUGCAUUUAAGCAGAAAGUGUUUCAGGCUCUGCAGAGGUGACACUGGCGUGUUUCUGCACUCAGGGUGCCCUUCCUGCCUUUUCCUCCCGGACACAGAGUCACAAGUGUGCACAGGGAAUGACAGACUCGGCGUCCAGUGGAGCCAUCCCCUGGCCUCGGAGUAGGAGGCGCGCCCAGGCCAGGCCAGACCACAGUGUAACAGGAGGGAGGAGGGCUUGCUUCUUUCAGGCAAGAAAAUUAAAACGGACAAAGAAAUAAAAGUAUUAAAUGUAUAGGAAAAACUGGAGUUUUUAUGACAGCGAUCAUCUAUAAAGAAACCAAGAGAAGUAAGCAAACAUUUGAACUAGCUCAGACAAGCAGCCUGCUUCACCCGCAGUUCACAAGGAAAACCCACAAUCAUAACGUUAAAAAUAUUCCCAAGCGCCGGGCGCGGUGGCUCACGCCUGUAAUCCCAGAACUUUGGAAGGCCAAGGUGAGAAAAUUGCUUAAGGUCAGGAGUUCAAGACCAGCCUAACCAACAUGGUGAAACCCCAUCUCUACUAAAAAUACAAAAAUUAGCCAGGCGUGGUGGCAGGUGCCUGUAAUCCCAGCAACUCGGGAAGCUGAGGUACGAGAAUCGCUUGAACCUGGGAGGGGGAAGUUGCAGUGAGCCGAGAUAGCGCCAUUGCACUCCAGCCUGGGCGACAGAGCGAGACUAAAAAAUGAAAUAUGAAAUGAAAUGAAAUAAUGAAAUGAAGAAAUGAAAUAUAAAAUAAAAUAAUCCCAAGCUUGGGACCCAGACUCUAACUGCUGAAAUGGAACCCCAGUGUGGAUCAGAACCUGGUGAUGAGACAGGGACACUUAAGAAUUCAACUUUGGGAGCUCAAGGUGCCCUCCAGUCCUCUCCUCACAGUGUGGAAACACUCUUUCCUUCAAAACCUUCAUUUGUACCAGCAGGAAACUCUCACCCGGAGUCAAUGUAAAGUCGUGACCUAAAUAAAUUGUCAUGUUCCCAAACCUUUUCUCCAGGGGACAAUGCAAACAAGUUUUUCACUGAGUCUGACCCUCACAGAUUUUCUUCAUGUAUACAAAUUACAGCCUGACUCAGCGACCCCAUGAAUGCUAAAACCAAAACACUGUCCAGGAAAUGGCCCCAGGCGCCAAAGGCUCCAGACUGGUCUCAGGCUCUCCUGCCCACUGCAGUUUAUUCACUUGCUUCUCACCAACACUGAUCCACUUAGAACUCUAAUGUGAUCGUGGGUCAUAAGACUCUCACUCCAAAGAGUGUCCUGUCCUGUACGCUGGGGAAAGGAAUGCUACACAGAAGCCAAAAAUUAUCUGGACAGGGGUUGGAUGCAGUGGUUCACGCCUGUAAUCCCAGCACUUUGGGAGGCUGCGGAGGGAGGAUUGCUCGAGCCCAGGAAUUCAAGACCAGCCUGGGAAAGAUGUCGAGACCCCAUCUCUAUGAAAAAUAAAUAAAAAGGCCGGACGCGGUGGCUCAUGCCUAUAAUCCCAGCACUUCAGGAGGCUGAGGUGGGCGGAUCAUGAGGUCAAGAGAUCGAGACCCUCCUGGCCAACAUGGUGAAACCCCCGUCUCUACUAAAAAUACAAAAAUUAGCUGGGCGUGGUGGCGCGUGCCUGUAGUCCCAGCUACUUGUAGUCCCAGCUACUUGGGAGGCUGAGCCAGGAGAAUCACUUGAACCCAGGAGGCA